rnacentral:rRNA from 1 species
UACGGAGGGUGCAAGCGUUGCUCGGAAUCAUUGGGCGUAAAGCGCGUGUAGGCGGCUUUGCAAAUCUGGUGUGAAAUCCCGGGGCUCAACCCCGGAAGUGCAUUGGAUACUGCUUAGCUAGAGGACGAGAGAGGAUGGUGGAAUUCCUGGUGUAGGGGUGAAAUCCGUAGAUAUCAGGAGGAACAUCAGUGGCGAAGGCGGCCAUCUGGCUCGUAUCUGACGCUGAGACGCGAAAGCGUGGGGAGCAAACAGG